CCAAACUUGGUCAUUUAGAGGAAGUAAAAGUCGUAACAAGGUUUCCGUAGGUGAACCUGCGGAAGGAUCAUUACAGUGCCGCGGGGCGCGCCGGUUCCGGCCUCCGCCCCGCAUACGGCCACCCGUGUCUACCGUACCUUCUGUUGCCUCGGCGGGCCCGUCGCUCCUUCCCCCCUCACGGGGGGAGGUGCGACCGCCGGGUGGCGCCUGCCGCCCAGCCCGCGCCCGCCAGAGGACCACACGAACCCUUUGUGAAUUUUGGCGACGUCUGAGACUUUGAUCAUUAAAUCAAGCUUAUAAAACUUUCAACAACGGAUCUCUUGGUUCCGGCAUCGAUGAAGAACGCAGC
rnacentral:misc_RNA from 1 species